UUGGGAUUCCUAAUCCUAGUAGUAAUAGGACUAGUUGAUAUACUAUAAAUACUUAUUUCUUCUUAGUAUUUUAUUAGAGUUUAUGAUUAUAUUAUUCUAUUGAGAAUAAAUAAAUUGAGAAUGUGUUUCCUUACCCUUUGAGAAUGUGUUUCUCAUCCCCUUGAGAAUUGUUUUCUCAUGACCCUUCUUGUUCUAUAUCAGUAAUGGAUAUUGAAAAGAGUUAAACCAGUGUUUUUCUCGUCAUUUGAUUCAUAGAUGUCUUGUUCUAGAAGGGAACUUAAAGAUCUAAGCUGCUUUCUUUGUCAUUACAGUCAUUUCUGUCCUGAUAGGGCCUAUGUAGCUUUUAGUAGUUUGCCAAUUUCAGGUUUGUUCUUUACCAUUGUGAAUUUGUGGUUAACUGCAGAAAAGAAAAGAUUUUGUCAGCUAGUCCCACCUAGAUUCUUCAUAUUGGGGCCUAGUUGAGUUGUUAGAUCUUACAUGCAUAUUGAUCUGGCAAUUGUAGUUAAAUGAGAUAUGCUUUUUAUAUUUGCUACAUGGAACUCAUGUUAGUUACACACUACUCUUCACCUACUUCUCUUUUUGGUUGAUGUUUUAGCUUGUUAAAUGCCUCUAUGACUAUUCACUAAAUGGAACCUAUGUAGAAAUGUGAAGCUUGAUUUUUUCUUUAAUUCUUUUUAUUCUAGUGCUUUCUGUCUGACCUUUCAUUUUCUUGGUUACAUAUGAAUGACAUAUGUAUCAGCUGAAGAGUAUUCCUAGUUCAAGUUUGGUCCAU
rnacentral:misc_RNA from 1 species